CACCUGAUUGCCUUUUAGCUGGAUCGUGCAGCUCGCCGUUCUUUGCUAACCAAGACCCUCACGUCACCGUGCACGUCCCACGCUGCACCUGGAGGAAGGUGGUGCGCGACUGCCUUCUGGAGGCGGAUGUGAUCAUAAGAACUAGGAGGCCAAAAACAAUUCCAUGACUCCCCUGCCUCCUCCAACCAGCUGCUUGGCACUAUGGUAGUGCUGCUAUCUUUGAAUUCCACGACCUUCCACACCUGUGCCAUCUGUCAAUGAGAGGACAAGGAAUUAGGAUUGGGGAAGAAGAGAGAUGGUGACAUAAUGGUCUUGGUCUGGAAAAAGCACACAUUUUCUGCUGACAUCCCCAAGGAGCUCAACCUCAAGAUCAUCUACCAACGUAUGGACCUGAAAACAGCCUAUUCGAGAGGAGGGGCAGGGAUAUGUGAAAUGGGAUUCCUUGUACCC
ensembl:lncRNA